rnacentral:rRNA from 1 species
AUUGAACGCUGGCGGCAGGCCUAACACAUGCAAGUCGAGCGGAUGAUGGUAGCUUGCUACCUGAUUCAGCGGCGGACGGGUGAGUAAUGCCUAGGAAUCUGCCUGGUAGUAGGGGACAACGUUUCGAAAGGAACGCUAAUACCGCAUACGUCCUACGGGAGAAAGUGGGGGAUCUUCGGACCUCACGCUAUCAGAUGAGCCUAGGUACGAUUAGCUAGUUGGUGAGGUAAAGGCUCACCAAGGCGACGAUCGUUAACUGGUCUGAGAGGAUGAUCAGUCACACUGGAACUGAGACACGGUCCAGACUCCUACGGGAGGCAGCAGUGGGGAAUAUUGGACAAUGAGCGAAAGCCUGAUCCAGCCAUGCCGCGUGUGUGAAGAAGGUCUUCGGAUUGUAAAGCACUUUAAGUUGGGAGGAAGGGCAGUAAGUUAAUACCUUGCUGUUUUGACGUUACCGACAGAAUAAGCACCGGCUAACUUCGUGCCAGCCGCCGCAGUAAGAC